rnacentral:rRNA from 1 species
CAGUCGCCACGGUAAUACCGAGGGUGCAAGCGUUAAUCGGAAUUACUGGGCGUAAAGCGCGCGUAGGUGGUUUGUUAAGUUGGAUGUGAAAUCCCCGGGCUCAACCUGGGAACUGCAUUUAAAACUGGCAAGCUAGAGUAUGGUAGAGGGUGGUGGAAUUUCCUGUGUAGCGGUGAAAUGCGUAGAUAUAGGAAGGAACACCAGUGGCGAAGGCGACCACCUGGACUGAUACUGACACUGAGGUGCGAAAGCGUGGGGAGCAAACAGGAUUAGAUACCCGAGUAGUCCCUGUCUCUUAUAC